rnacentral:ncRNA from 1 species
AAGGGGAGCUGGAUGAAGUCUGGCUGAGAAUAAAACCGUAAUUGUUUUUAACCCUUAACCUGAUCUGGGUAAUGCCAGCGUAGGGAAAUAAAGUAACU